rnacentral:rRNA from 1 species
GCUAAGGAAGUGGCGGGAGGGGUGGUAGAACGUAGGGGGUGGGCGGUAAACGGAAUUGCUGGGCGGAAGGGGUGCGCAGGCGGUUGUGUAAGACAGAGGUGAAAGCCCCGGGCUCAACCUGGGAACUGCCGUUGUGACUGCAAGGCUAGAGUACGGCAGAGGGGGAUGGAAUUCCGCGUGUAGCAGUGAAAUGCGUAGAUAUGCGGAGGAACACCGAUGGCGAAGGCAAUCCCCUGGGCCUGUACUGACGCUCAUGCACGAAAGCGUGGGGAGCAAACAGGAUUAGAUACCCCGGUAGUC